rnacentral:pre_miRNA from 1 species
ACAACAUUCGGACCGUUGGUCUACCGAGCAAUAUCACCCGCUCAGUGGAAGUUUUUUUGUCCGUGUC